UGGAGGUGAUGAGAAGGGUAUCAACUGCGAUGUUGUCGGUAUUAGUUUGAAGGUGGUGUUAGGAAGAUGAAGAGGUUUGGGGCUGACGAAGGGUUUUGAGAAUGAAGAGAGAUUUUUUUCUUUUUCUGAGUGAUUGUGAGAGAGGAUGAAGGGUGAGGUCGUGAGAUUUCGUGAGGAUUUUUGCAGAGUGAUUUUUGAGGUAUUUGAGUGGAGGGAGCAUGAGAUAAAGAGAGAGAGGGCGCGUGGAGGGAAGAGAGAGGGUGGAGAAUGUAACGUGUGUGUGAGGGAAGAGAGAGAUCUUUUUUCAGAUUUUGUGAGGUGAGUGGAUGAGGUUGAGGGACACAUGGCGAAUAGAGAGGAGAAAGACGUUGGAGUGAAUCUCCAAUGGAUUCUUAUUAUCUAUUUAUUUAUUUAUUUUAUUUUUUUUAUUUUAAGAAAAGAGAAUCCAAUGCUAAUAUUUUUUAAUACACUUAUAAUUCACUUAAAUACAUAAAACAUUAAUUGAAAAAACUAAUUAACAUUUGAUUUAAAUAAAUUUUAACUAUUUUACUUAUCUAACUAACCAAAAAUAUUGAUCCAUUAAAAAUAGAAAUCGAAUGCAAAUUUGUGCGGAAAAUUAAAUCAAUCACACCAAAAUUAUCAGCACAAAACACAUUAUUUGAAAAAUACACUGUUUCCUCAAAUUUUAACGAUUCAACUGAUUUGUCCGUAUUCUCAAAUAAAUUCAUUCUGACUGACGUUCUAG
rnacentral:lncRNA from 1 species